rnacentral:rRNA from 1 species
GCGUUAAGUUGCAGGGUAUAGACCCGAAACCCGGUGAUCUAGCCAUGGGCAGGUUGAAGGUUGGGUAACACUAACUGGAGGACCGAACCGACUAAUGUUGAAAAAUUAGCGGAUGACCUGUGGCUGGGGGUGAAAGGCCAAUCAAACCGGGAGAUAGCUGGUUCUCCCCGAAAGCUAUUUAGGUAGCGCCUCGUGAAUUCAUCUCCGGGGGUAGAGCACUGUUUCGGCUAGGGGGCCAUCCCGGCUUACCAACCCGAUGCAAACUGCGAAUACCGGAGAAUGUUAUCACGGGAGACACACGGCGGGUGCUAACGUCCGUCGUGAAGAGGGAAACAACCCAGACCGCCAGCUAAGGUCCCAAAGUCAUGGUUAAGUGGGAAACGAUGUGGGAAGGCCCAGACAGCCAGGAUGUUGGCUUAGAAGCAGCCAUCAUUUAAAGAAAGCGUAAUAGCUCACUGGUCGAGUCGGCCUGCGCGGAAGAUGUAACGGGGCUAAACCAUGCACCGAAGCUGCGGCAGCGACACUAUGUGUUGUUGGGUAGGGGAGCGUUCUGUAAGCCUGUGAAGGUGUGCUGUGAGGCAUGCUGGAGGUAUCAGAAGUGCGAAUGCUGACAUAAGUAACGAUAAAGCGGGUGAAAAGCCCGCUCGCCGGAAGACCAAGGGUUCCUGUCCAACGUUAAUCGGGGCAGGGUGAGUCGACCCCUAAGGCGAGGCCGAAAGGCGUAGUCGAUGGGAAACGGGUUAAUAUUCCCGUACUUGGUGUUACUGCGAAGGGGGGACGGAGAAGGCUAUGUUGGCCGGGCGACGGUUGUCCCGGUUUAAGCGUGUAGGUGUGUGUUCCAGGUAAAUCCGGUUCACUUUAACACUGAGGCGUGAUGACGAGGCACUACGGUGCUGAAGCAACAAAUGCCCUGCUUCCAGGAAAAGCCUCUAAGCAUCAGGUAACAUCAAAUCGUACCCCAAACCGACACAGGUGGUCAGGUAGAGAAUACCAAGGCGCUUGAGAGAACUCGGGUGAAGGAACUAGGCAAAAUGGUGCCGUAACUUCGGGAGAAGGCACGCUGACAUGUAGGUGAAGUGAUUUACUCAUGGAGCUGAAGUCAGUCGAAGAUACCAGCUGGCUGCAACUGUUUAUUAAAAACACAGCACUGUGCAAACACGAAAGUGGACGUAUACGGUGUGACGCCUGCCCGGUGCCGGAAGGUUAAUUGAUGGGGUCAGCGCAAGCGAAGCUCCUGAUCGAAGCCCCGGUAAACGGCGGCCGUAACUAUAACGGUCCUAAGGUAGCGAAAUUCCUUGUCGGGUAAGUUCCGACCUGCACGAAUGGCGUAAUGAUGGCCAGGCUGUCUCCACCCGAGACUCAGUGAAAUUGAACUCGCUGUGAAGAUGCAGUGUACCCGCGGCAAGACGGAAAGACCCCGUGAACCUUUACUAUAGCUUGACACUGAACAUUGAGCCUUGAUGUGUAGGAUAGGUGGGAGGCUUUGAAGUGUGGACGCCAGUCUGCAUGGAGCCGGCCUUGAAAUACCACCCUUUAAUGUUUGAUGUUCUAACGUGGACCCGUGAUCCGGGUUGCGGACAGUGUCUGGUGGGUAGUUUGACUGGGGCGGUCUCCUCCUAAAGAGUAACGGAGGAGCACGAAGGUUGGCUAAUCCUGGUCGGACAUCAGGAGGUUAGUGCAAUGGCAUAAGCCAGCUUGACUGCGAGCGUGACGGCGCGAGCAGGUGCGAAAGCAGGUCAUAGUGAUCCGGUGGUUCUGAAUGGAAGGGCCAUCGCUCAACGGAUAAAAGGUACUCCGGGGAUAACAGGCUGAUACCGCCCAAGAGUUCAUAUCGACGGCGGUGUUUGGCACCUCGAUGUCGGCUCAUCACAUCCUGGGGCUGAAGUAGGUCCCAAGGGUAUGGCUGUUCGCCAUUUAAAGUGGUACGCGAGCUGGGUUUAGAACGUCGUGAGACAGUUCGGUCCCUAUCUGCCGUGGGCGCUGGAGAACUGAGGGGGGCUGCUCCUAGUACGAGAGGACCGGAGUGGACGCAUCACUGGUGUUCGGGUUGUCAUGCCAAUGGCACUGCCCGGUAGCUAAAUGCGGAAGAGAUAAGUGCUGAAAGCAUCUAAGCACGAAACUUGCCCCGAGAUGAGUUCU